CCUACGGGUGGCAGCAGUGGGGAAUCUUGCACAAUGGGGGAAACCCUGAUGCCGCGACGCCGCGGGAGUGAAGAAGUAUUUCGGUAUGUAACGCUCUAUCAGCAGUGAAGAAGAAAGACGGUACCUGACUAAGAAGCCCCGGCUAACUACGUGCCAGCAGCCGCGGUACUACGUAGGGGGCAAGCGUUAUCCGGAUUUAAUGGGUGUAAAGGGAGCUUAGACGGCUGUGCAAGUGUGAAGUGAAAGCCCAGGGAUCAACACUGGGACUGCUGUGGACACUGGGGAGAUAGAGUGCUGGAGAGGUAAGUGGAAUGCCUAGUGUAGCGGUGAAAUGCGUAGAUAUUAGGAGGAACACCAGUGGCGAAGGCGGCUUACUGGACAGUAACUGACGUUGAGGCUCGAAAGCGUGGGGAGCAAACAGGAUUAGAUACCCUAGUAGUC
rnacentral:rRNA from 1 species